AGAGUUUGAUCCUGGCUCAGGAUGAACGCUAGCGGCAGGCUUAACACAUGCAAGUCGAGGGGUAGAGGAAGCUUGCUUCCUUGAGACCGGCGCACGGGUGCGUAACGCGUAUGCAAUCUACCUUGUACAGGGGGAUAGCCCAGAGAAAUUUGGAUUAAUACCCCAUAGUAUUAUUGAAUGGCAUCAUUUGAUUAUUAAAGUUCCAACGGUACAAGAUGAGCAUGCGUCCCAUUAGCUAGUUGGUGUGGUAACGGCACACCAAGGCGACGAUGGGUAGGGGUCCUGAGAGGGAGAUCCCCCACACUGGUACUGAGACACGGACCAGACUCCUACGGGAGGCAGCAGUGAGGAAUAUUGGUCAAUGGGCGCAAGCCUGAACCAGCCAUGCCGCGUGCAGGAUGACGGUCCUAUGGAUUGUAAACUGCUUUUGUACAGGAAGAAACACUCCCUCGUGAGGGAGCUUGACGGUACUGUAAGAAUAAGGAUCGGCUAACUCCGUGCCAGCAGCCGCGGUAAU
rnacentral:rRNA from 1 species